UCAAGUAGAUGCUCGGGUAGUUGACUCUGCCGGUUCUGUCUGAGUGGUCCGAGGGAGCACAGGGCUCUGCCCUGUGAUGGACAGUCCCAUUCCAUAAUGCUGGAGAGCAAACCAGACUUUCUGUCUGCAUCUGUUCAUUCUAAACCUCUAGGAGACAAGCCAUACAGGAAACAAUA
ensembl:snoRNA SNORA73 Small nucleolar RNA SNORA73 family